GAUUUCUCAGUUUCCAUUGUUUACUUCCUGCCCCGCGUGACGUAGCUGCACCGCAUGACGUCACUUCCUCUGCCAGCCGACCAUAUUAAGUGUCGUAAAACCUGCUUCUUUUCAAAGCUCUAUCCAGUCAUGUCGCGGAGGGUCUGUUGCCUGUAUUGUGUGGAGAAAUCCACAAUGUUUGCAGUACCGAAGGCAGAACCACAAAGAAGUCAGUGGUUGACAUUCCUUUUUAACACUGUUCCAGCUGAUUUACCAGCCGGUACUGUUGUGUGUGUGCGCGGCAUUUCACGGACCAAAGCUUUAAAAACGUAACAAUGUUUAGCUUCGGACUUGCAAAGCUGAUAUUGGAGGACGAUGCUGUUCCUACUUUGUUUGGACCAGCGGGAGAUUCGGGUACACAACCUAGUACAUCACAGCAGGAACACAAUACCAACUGCUCCAGUACAGUCGGAUGUCAAACAGACCGUCCACAACCACAACUGUGGGAACACAGACAGUGGAAUGUAAAAUGUCCGCCAUUUCUGUUGCUACACAGUUGGCCCGGGGAACACUGAAAUCGGCACACGUGAGAAGCAAAGGCAUCCAGGCCACGGUGUCUUUCAAAAGUGUUGGCACUAAAACUUCCACCUACACAGAAAUCCCCUUGUCCUCUACACCAGUGGUUCCCAAACG